rnacentral:rRNA from 1 species
GACGAACGCUGGCGGCGUGCUUAACACAUGCAAGUGGAGCGACGAAGCGGGCUUCGGCCCGUGGCAGAGCCGCGAACGGGUGAGUAACACGUGGGUAACCUGCCCCGAUGACUGGGACAACCCGGGGAAACCCGGGCUAAUACCGGAUGUACUCUCACCACCCCAGUGGUGAGAGGAACGGUAGCUUCGGCUUCCGCAUCGGGAUGGGCCCGCGGCCCAUUAGCUUGUUGGUGGGGUAAUGGCCUACCAAGGCUGCGAUGGGUAGCUGGUCUGAGAGGACGAUCAGCCACACUGGGACUGAGACACGGCCCAGACUCCUACGGGAGGCAGCAGUGGGGAAUCUUGCGCAAUGCGCGAAAGCGUGACGCAGCAACGCCGCGUGGGGGAAGAAGGCCUUCGGGUUGUAAACCCCUUUCAGGAGGGACGAAGCCUGGCUGGUGAAUAGCCAGUCCAGGUGACGGUACCUCCACAAGAAGCCCCGGCUAACUACGUGCCAGCCGCCGCCGUAAAAC